GACGAACGCUGGCGGCGUGCCUAAUACAUGCAAGUAGAACGCUGAAGGGGGAGCUUUCCCCUCUGGAUGAGUUGCGAACAGGUGAGUAUCACGUAGGUAACCUGCCUGGUGUCGGGGGAUAACUCUUUGAAACGCUAUCUAAUAUCCCAUAUAAGAAGAUGUUGCAUGACAUUUGCUUAAAAGAUGCAAUUUUAUUCCUAUCAGAUGUACCUGCGUUGUAUUAGCUAGUAGGUGGGGUAACGGCUCACCUAGGCGACGAUACAUAUCCGACCUGAGAGGGUGAUCGGCCACACUGGGACUGAGACACGGCCCAGACUCCUACGGGAGGCAGCAGUAGGGAAUCUUCGGCAAUGGACGGAAGUCUGACCGAGCAACGCCGCGUGAGUGAAGAAGGUUGUCGGAUCGGAAAGCUCUGUUGUAAGAGAAGAACGAGUGUGAGAGUGGAAAGUUCACACUGUGACGGUAUCUUACUAGAAAGGGACGGCUAACUACGUG
rnacentral:rRNA from 1 species